rnacentral:rRNA from 1 species
CAAUAUUUCAUUGACGUAUGAAGUUAAUUAUCCUAAUUUAACUACAUAUGGUAGCCAACACACAUUGUGACAUAACCCAAACCCAUCCAUACACCUUAAACAGGUGUGUCAUAGGCCAACGGUCAAGACACUUCAAAGAAAAUCCCAGGUUUCAACACACCCACAACACCAAUGUCCUAUAUUACAGUAGCUAGGAAACUAGACCUUAGAAAAAAGCAUAAGGAGCGACAAAAUGGGUGCCAGCAGUCGCGGUUACACCCAUACUCCAAAUUAACUACAACCCACCACAGAUGGUGAACACCCAUUUGACUACCAAAUUAAUUUAAACCGUAAAAAGAUUUAUCUCCAGGUUAAACCCAAAUAAGUCAUACUACUCCAUUCUUACAAACCACAAAACAAAACUCGGAUUAGAUACCCGACUAUUGCGUGGCCCAACAGCAAAAAGAAUACUAAGAGCGAAAGCUUAAACCUCAAACAAUGUGGCGGUACUUUACUCCAUAUCAGGGGAUCCUGUAUCUUAAAUCGAUAAUCCACGAAUGAUCAAAGCUUCUCUAGUAAUCAGCUUGUGUAUGGCCGUUUAUGCUUGCUCAAAGAAGACCCAAAAGGGAGCAAAGAGAGGACAUCUCGACCAAUUCAGGUGACAUACAGCCAAUGAGAAGCUGACUUAUGGGAUACAAAUAAAUACAAUUACCAGAUUAGGCCUUAAAACUCCUAUGAAGGAGGACUUGAAAGUAAAUGGCACACACAUAGUGCAUUUGAAUAAGAACUAAAGUGCGCACAAAUCGCCCGUCACUCCUGCGGCUAAAGCGGGAUAAGUCGUAACACAGUGGGGGUAAUGGAAAUUGCCCCUAUUC